UUCUUCUGAUAAAAUGAAUAUGCAUGUCUUCCUCCUCUAUGUCUUCCUCCUAAUGCUUCAUUUAUAAUGAUUCACUGCACAUGGAAGUUUACUCUCUUCAGCCUUCUCCAGAGACCCUUUUAAGCCCAAAGGCCUUUCCUGAUUUUUCGAUAAAGUUUUUGCGUGCAGUGUGAAGAUAGAAAUUUGCAAUUACUACUACUGCAGUCUCAGCGCUACAGCUUUACAGGAGGGCCAAGAGAUAUGCGUAGACGAUACAUGGAUGCA